rnacentral:rRNA from 1 species
GACGAACGCUGGCGGCGUGCCUAAUACAUGCAAGUCGAACGCUUUUUCUUUCACCGGAGCUUGCUCCACCGAAAGAAAAAGAGUGGCGAACGGGUGAGUAACACGUGGGUAACCUGCCCAUCAGAAGGGGAUAACACUUGGAAACAGGUGCUAAUACCGUAUAACACUAUUUUCCGCAUGGAAGAAAGUUGAAAGGCGCUUUUGCGUCACUGAUGGAUGGACCCGCGGUGCAUUAGCUAGUUGGUGAGGUAACGGCUCACCAAGGCAACGAUGCAUAGCCGACCUGAGAGGGUGAUCGGCCACACUGGGACUGAGACACGGCCCAGACUCCUACGGGAGGCAGCAGUAGGGAAUCUUCGGCAAUGGACGAAAGUCUGACCGAGCAACGCCGCGUGAGUGAAGAAGGUUUUCGGAUCGUAAAACUCUGUUGUUAG